rnacentral:tRNA from 1 species
AGCAGCGUGGCUCAGUGGAAAGAGCCCGGGCUUGGGAGUCAGAGGUCAUGGGUUCGAAUCCCACCUCUGCCA